rnacentral:rRNA from 1 species
UACGGGGGGGCAAGCGUUGUUCGGAAUUACUGGCGUAAAGGGCUCGUAGGCGGCCAACUAAGUCAGACGUGAAAUCCCUCGGCUUAACCGGGGAACUGCGUCUGAUACUGGAUGGCUUGAAUCCGGGAGAGGGAUGCGGAAUUCCAGGUGUAGCGGUGAAAUGCGUAGAUAUCUGGAGGAACACCGGUGGCGAAGGCGGCAUCCUGGACCGGCAUUGACGCUG